GCGGAGUGGCUCCAGGCCUCAGUCGCAGCCUCCUCCCGCCUUCGCUUUAGACUUCAGGGACCCAGAGGGGACUUCCCGGGCGCCUGCACUCCCAGUUCGAGGGAGCCUAGCGCUGGCGAGGAGUGGACGGAGUUCAGUGCUCGGCCGCGGAGGAGGAGCAGGGGCAACGCAGGUGCGGGGCGCCGCCUCCCAGGCAGGCCGAGGCGGGCUAAGCUGGCCUGACCGGGAACAUAGCCGCGAGCCCCGGGAGAGCCCGGCCAGCUGGGGACGAGUCCGGCCUGGAAGAGCCCGCAGCACCGACCGCCGUCAACAGGCGCGGAGCCGGGUCCCGCGCGCAGCGCCCAGCGCUAUCCACAAUGGCCAGAAGGUGGAAGCAACCCAAAGUCCUCGAAUAGAUGAAUGGAUAAGCAAAAUGUACGAAUACCUCCAGUGGAAUGUUAGCCUUGAACAGGAGUGGAAUUCUGAUACUUACCUCCACUUGAAAACACCGUGCUAUGUGACCUAAGAUUCCGUUUCAAUGAUGAGACCACUUUCUGCUCCAGGCCUGUCAUCACGUGGGCGACAGUGACGCCUCCAUUAGUGUUUGCGUCUGCAGGGUUACAACCUGGCCGCUUCCACAGAGCCCAGCACCUGCCCGAGGCCCCGCCUGCUCAGUAGCUGUCUGCAAGGUGAGAAGGCUCCAUCCUAGUCCCAGCAGUGUCAUUGCCCAGGGAAAUGCUGGUGUCAGACCCCAGCCAGUCGGUGGAGGGCCAGCAAACUUCAAGCACCUGGAGUGAGGGCUGCGGGCGAGGGGCUGACACCAGAAAGCCGCGUCUGGGCCCCGUAACCAGGGACACAGAACACAGUGCCUGGGAGACAGCCUGCAGUGAGUCCCCACGUGGGGGCCUGGCCAGCGCCAGGAGCUUUGCGUCUUCUCAGGUGGGCUUUUGAGUAGAUGAUGACAGUGGCCCCUGCCCCCAGCUGUCCCCUCUCCAGGCCCUCCCGUGUCGGGGUGCUGGGUGAAUCAUCUUCAGACACUCCUUGGGGCCCAUCUGUCCAGGCCGCAGAUGCAUGAGCAAACCAGUCACGUCUCGACGCCUGCUGGCUUCCCUGCGGUCCACACUCACACCCCUCGCUGGGUGACCCGACAGCUGUCUUCAUGGUUUUGAAGGGCUGACGGAGAGGAGGAGGAGGAGUCUGCUCUGGGCUGCCCCAGCGGGCAGAAGUGCCAUCAGCGGUGUGAACUACAGGAGAGUCAAGUGCCUCUGUGUAUCCAGAAAUGUCCGUGUUGUUCAUGUGACUGUGGGUGGCAGGGGUGAAGAGUGAGGGAGGGGGUGGUUGUGCUGGCCGAGCUCUGAGAGUGCGUGGAACACUGCGUGCUGUUCUUACAGUACCUGCUGUCCUCUCACGGUCAAAGGUGGCAGGAAGUAGCUCGACACUGUACCCCCAGUCCAAAGGCCCCUCGUGAAGAUUCUAAAUCCAUGAAUGGAUACUUGAGAUUUUGCAGGAAAUAGGUUUUUGUGUUUGACACGUCAGGUGCACGCAAGGGGUUGGAGACAGAGGCCAGGGCCAAGCCGUGUAAAGCCCUGUGGGCCAUGAGGCCCCUGUCCCAAAGGCAAGCGAGUGACAUGAGCCUGGAGCGGAGGCCAGACACCAGGAGCUUUCUGACGGAUGGAAAUUUGCAACAGCGACAUGGACAGCCUUGCAGAGCAGGCUCUGGGGCCACUGGGCUCCGAGAGGGACACGAAGCACCCACCUCUGACGCUCACGGGCCCCCGUGAUGGCACCUGUCUCCACGGAGGAUCUCUUCAGUGCCUGCCAGGAGGUGGCGCCAAACUCUGGACCUUACCUGUCUGUGCUCCUUUCAGUCCUUUGGAUUCUUCCCCCUGCAGCAGUGUUUCUAAUAAUAAAUUGUUACAGGGGCCGGCACUGUGGCAUGGUGGGUAAAGCCGCCGCCUGCACUGCCUGCAUCCCAUAUGGGUGCCGGUUCAUGUCCUGGCUGCUCCACUCCCUAUCCAGCUCUCUGCUAUGGCCUGGAGCAGUAGAAAAUUGGCCAAGUCCUUGGGCCCCUGCAACCACAUGGGGGACCCGGAAGAAGCUCCUGGCUCCUGGCUUUGGAUCAGCCCAGCUCCAGCCACUGUAGUCAUUUGGGGAGUGAACCAGCUGAUGGAAGACCUCUCUCUCUGCCUCUGCCUCUCUGUAACUCUGCCCUUCAAAUAAAUAAAUCUUAAAAAAAAAAUAAAUUAUUACAUAGGUGCAACAAGGGCCUGAUGGGAUAACUAUUAUUACACAUUCAUAUAAUGGAAUGUUGUGUGGCCAUUUACAUGGGAGUGAUGGAAGAAAGCUAAGGAUGUGCAGAGAUGGCCAUCGUAUCCUAUUAUGUGAAAGAAGCUGGGUUCAGUAGGAUCUCAUUUUUGAAAGCAGCAACAGCAGUCUGACAUUGUGGCAUAGCAGGUAAAACUGCCGCCUGCACUGCCAGCAUCCCAUAUGGGUGCCGGUUUGUGUCCCUACUGCUCCACUUCUGAUCCAGCUCCCUGCUAAUGGCUUGGGAAAAGCAGUGGAAGAUGGCCCGAGUGCUUGGGCCCCUGCUACCCUUGUGGGAGACCUGGAAGACUCCUGACUCCUGGUUUCAGCCUAGCUCAGCCCUGGCCAUUGUGGUCAUCUGGGGAGUGAACCAGUGGAUUGAAGAUACCUUCCUCUCUGUCUUUCUGUCUCUCUCUGUGACUCUUUCAA